ACCCGUGUUUGUAAGUGUUAUGGGUUGCGUUCGAGCUUAGCCUUGUUCAUUUUUUUACACAAUAGCUCUGUAAAAAAUUGCACACGGCUCUAUGAACAUCCCAUGAAACCGGGCUUACAGCGUGUGACGAAUAACCCAAAACGCCCCAAAAAUGGCCCCUCCGCACCACCUCAGGGCAA
rnacentral:sRNA from 1 species